rnacentral:misc_RNA from 1 species
GAUGAAGAACGUAGCAAAAUGCGAUAAGUAAUGUGAAUUGCAGAAUUCAGUGAAUCAUCGAAUCUUUGAACGCACAUUGCGCCCGCCAGUAUUCUGGCGGGCUUGCCUGUUCGAGCGUCAUUUCAACCCUCAAGCACAGCUUGGUGUUGGGACUCGCGUUAAUUCGCGUUCCCCAAAUUGAUUGGCGGUCACGUCGAGCUUCCAUAGCGUAGUAGUAAAACCCUCGUUACUGGUAAUCGUCGCGGCCACGCCGUUAAACCCCAACUUCUGAAUGUUGACCUCGGAUCAGGUAGGAAUACCCGCUGAACUUAAGCAUAUCAAUAAGCGGAGGA